rnacentral:sRNA from 1 species
GCUGGGGGAGGUGGCCCAUGCCUGUAAUCCCAGUGGCUCAGGAGGCUGAGGCAGGAGGAUCAUGAGUUCAAAGCCAGCCUCAGCAACAGCAAGGCGCUAAGCAACUCAGUGAGACCCUGUCUCUC